ACGAAGGGGACUAGCGUUGUUCGGAAUUACUGGGCGUAAAGCGCACGUAGGCGGAUUUGUAAGUCAGGGGUGAAAUCCCGGGGCUCAACCUCGGAACUGCCUUUGAUACUGCAAAUCUCGAGUCCGAUAGAGGUGGGUGGAAUUCCUAGUGUAGAGGUGAAAUUCGUAGAUAUUAGGAAGAACACCGGUGGCGAAGGCGGCCCACUGGAUCGGUACUGACGCUGAGGUGCGAAAGCGUGGGGAGCAAACAGGA
rnacentral:rRNA from 1 species